UACAGAGGUCUCAAGCGUUGUUCGGAUUUAUUGGGCGUAAAGGGUGCGCAGGCUGCGUGGUAAGUCGAGUGUGAAAUUUAGGGGCUUAACCCCUAAACUGCAUCCGAUACUGCCAUGCUAGAGGACUGUAGAGGAGAUUGGAAUUCACGGUGUAGCAGUGAAAUGCGUAGAUAUCGUGAGGAAGACCAGUGGCGAAGGCGAAUCUCUGGGCAGGUCCUGACGCUCAUGCACGAAGGCUAGGGGAGCAAACGGG
rnacentral:rRNA from 1 species